GAAAUGCGAUAAGUAAUGUGAAUUGCAGAAUUCAGUGAAUCAUCGAAUCUUUGAACGCAUCUUGCGCUCCUUGGUAUUCCUUGGAGCAUGCCUGUUUGAGUAUCAUGAAAUCUUCAAAGUAAAUCCUUUGUUAACUCAAUUGGUUUCUACUUUGGUAUUGGAGGUCUUUGCAGCUUCACACCUGCUCCUCUUUGUUCAUUAGCUGGAUCUCAGUGUUAUGCUUGGUUCCACUCGGCGUGAUAAGUUAUCUAUCGCUGAGGACACUGUAAAAGGUGGCCUAGGUAAAUGCAGAUGAACCGCUUCUAAUAGUCCAUUGACUUGGACAAUACUUUUAUGAUCUGAUCUCAAAUCAGGUAGGACUACCCGCUGAACUUAAGC
rnacentral:misc_RNA from 1 species